rnacentral:lncRNA from 1 species
GGCGCCUUUGCCGGACAUUUGGCAAAAUUUUUACAAACACUAAGGUAAAACCCCAGUUCCAGGAGAUUUUAAGACUCUCUGAAGAAAACAUUGAUUCCUCAGCAGGAAAUGGGGUCCUCACUAAAGCUACUGUCCCCAUUUAUGCAACAGGAGUCCUCACGUGUUAUAUUCAGGAAGAAGACCGAAAGCUAUUGGUCGGCUUCUUGGAAGAUGUGAUGACGCUGCUUUCACUGUCUCAUGCUCCUCUUGACAGCCUGAAGGCUUCUUUUGUGGAACUUGGGUAAAAAUAAAGCAGCUUAUAGGUGUCUUUGUUUUUAUUUUUAAAAGCAUAUUAAAG